UACGUAGGGUGCAAGCGUUGUCCGGAAUUAUUGGGCGUAAAGAGCUCGUAGGCGGUUCGUCGCGUCGGCUGUGAAAUCCCGAGGCUCAACCUCGGGUCUGCAGUCGAUACGGGCGGACUGGAGUACUGCAGGGGAGACUGGAAUUCCUGGUGUAGCGGUGAAAUGCGCAGAUAUCAGGAGGAACACCGGUGGCGAAGGCGGGUCUCUGGGCCGUAACUGACGCUGAGGAGCGAAAGCGUGGGGAGCGAACAGG
rnacentral:rRNA from 1 species